AUUGAACGCUGGCGGCAGGCCUAACACAUGCAAGUCGAGCGGUAGCACAGAGAGCUUGCUCUCGGGUGACGAGCGGCGGACGGGUGAGUAAUGUCUGGGAAACUGCCUGAUGGAGGGGGAUAACUACUGGAAACGGUAGCUAAUACCGCAUAACGUCGCAAGACCAAAGAGGGGGACCUUCGGGCCUCUUGCCAUAAGAUGUGCCCAGAUGGGAUUAGCUAGUAGGUGGGGUAACGGCUCACCUAGGCGACGAGCCCUAGCUGGUCUGAGAGGAUGACCAGCCACACUGGAACUGAGACACGGUCCAGACUCCUACGGGAGGCAGCAGUGGGGAAUAUUGCACAAUGGGCGCAAGCCUGAUGCAGCCAUGCCGCGUGUAUGAAGAAGGCCUUCGGGUUGUAAAGUACUUUCAGCGGGGAGGAAGGUGUUGAGGUUAAUAACCUCAGCAAUUGACGUUACCCGCAGAAGAAGCACCGGCUAACUCCGUGCCAGCAGCCGCCGUAA
rnacentral:rRNA from 1 species